AGCAUUACCUGUAGUAUUUUUUUUUUGCAAUCAUAGCACCAAGCUUGUUCCUCUCAAGUUCUCAUCCUCUCAUCUCCAGAGAUCACACGAGCAGUAGCCAGCUCUUACACUGCAUUUCGGGCUAACCCAUUAGCAGAUAGAGCCCCUGUUCUUAACAUUCUGCUCAAGCUCAAGCUCCCGACAAACAAAUCAACUAACGGCAGCACUGAUUGGGGAGGUGGGGAGAGGGAGAGGAGAGGGAAAAGAACACUCACCCCCGGGGAGGGGAAGCACCAGCAGUCAACGGCCAGAUCCUCCUUCAAACGAACCGGCGACUGCAGAUCGGAGGAGGCCCAUGGCGUGGCGGCGGCGGUGCGGCGCCUGGGUGACGAGCGAGGGUGUGAGUGCUCUGUCUCCCAGGUGACCCACGUCUCUCUCACCCCUGGAUCUGAGAUGAACGACGGCGUCCACCACCAGGCCUUGGUGGAUGAAGGUGACCGGGCGCAAGCUAGGGUUAGAAAUGUUUGGGGGCUAGCGGUGUGGGUGCGGGAGGAUGAUGGGGACAGGGCUGCAACCUCGCUGCCGCAGUGACGGCGUGCGGGCUGCUAGAUGGCUAUUGGCCGGCGGCGGAGGCAGCGAGUGAGAGGAUAAGGUUUGGGGAAUUUGGUGCGCCGGCGGCGGAGGGAGUGCGUGGGAG
rnacentral:lncRNA from 1 species